CACGUAGGGGGCGAGCGUUGUCCGGAUUUAUUGGGCGUAAAGAGCUCGUAGGCGGCUCAGUAAGUCAGGCGUGAAAACUCCAGGCUCAACCUGGAGACGCCACCUGAUACUGCUGUGGCUAGAGUCCGGUAGGGGAGCAUGGAAUUCCUGGUGUAGCGGUGAAAUGCGCAGAUAUCAGGAGGAACACCAGUGGCGAAGGCGGUGCUCUGGGCCGGAACUGACGCUGAGGAGCGAAAGCGUGGGGAGCAAACAGG
rnacentral:rRNA from 1 species